CAGAAUGGUUGGAAACCAUUCAAAGAGUGCAAAGGCAUAAGGGAGCUUGACUGCGAGACCGACGGGUCGAGCAGGUACGAAAGUAGGACUUAGUGAUCCGGUGGUAUGAAAGUGGGAUUGCCAUCGCUCAACGGAUAAAAGCUACCCUGGGGAUAACAGGCUUAUCACUCCCAAGAGUUCACAUCGACGGAGUGGUUUGGCACCUCGAUGUCGGCUCAUCGCAUCCUGGGGCUGAAGUAGGUCCCAAGGGUUGGGCUGUUCGCCCAUUAAAGCGGUACGCGAGCUGGGUUCAGAACGUCGUGAGACAGUUCGGUCCCUAUCCGGCGCGGGCGUAGGAUAUUUGAGAGGAGCUGUCCUUAGUACGAGAGGACCGGGAUGGACUGACCUCUGGUGUAUCUGUUGGGUAUCAAGCCCAUGGCAGAGUAGCCAAGUCGGGACGGGAUAAACGCUGAAGGCAUCUAAGCGUGAAGCCCCCCUCAAGAUGAGAUAUCCCAUCGCAAGAGUAAGACCCCUUGAAGACGACGAGGUAGAUAGGGCAGAGGUGGAAGCAUGGCAACAUGUGUAGCUGACUGUUACUAAUCGGUCGAGGGCUUAACCAA
rnacentral:ncRNA from 1 species